ACGUAGGGUGCAAGCGUUAAUCGGAAUUACUGGGCGUAAAGCGUGCGCAGGCGGUUAUGCAAGACAGAUGUGAAAUCCCCGGGCUCAACCUGGGAACUGCAUUUGUGACUGCAUGGCUAGAGUGCGGCAGAGGGGGAUGGAAUUCCGCGUGUAGCAGUGAAAUGCGUAGAUAUUGGAAAGACCACCAAUGGCGAAGGCACUCUACUGGGCCAUUACUGACACUGAGAGACGAAAGCUAGGGGAGCAAAUGGGA
rnacentral:rRNA from 1 species